AUUCUACCCAUACAGGGAGGGAUGAGAAGCUUCGACUAAGGUUCGACUCGAGCGCCAGCGAGAGAGCGUUGCCGCAGGCAACGACCCGUAGGGCGAAGCGCGCAGCGCUGAGUAAUCCU
rnacentral:sRNA from 1 species